rnacentral:lncRNA from 1 species
UUGAAACUCCACCUCGCACUGGGCUCCCCAUCAGGUAGUAAUAUCUUCUUGUCCUUUUUUUUUCUCUAGAAUAAUCCUAUCACCGCACAAUACCUUCAGGAUUCCUCCACCAGCUACCAUCCUGUAGGCUCUCAAAUCCAAUCUGCUCAGUGAGAUAAAAUUCCAUCUAAAAUCGAGUAUGUAUCGAACCUCCUUCAAUCUCCUCACUAUACUAUCAUGUGUCCUCUAGUUGACCAUCCCAAUGCCUCUGGUCGUACAGCUUGAUCCAUCCGACCAA